rnacentral:rRNA from 1 species
CACGUAGGGCGCAAGCGUUGUCCGGAAUUAUUGGGCGUAAAGGGCUCGUAGGCGGUCUGUUGCGUCAGGAGUGAAAACUCGGGGCUUAACCCCGAGCCUGCUUCUGAUACGGGCAGACUAGAGGUAUGCAGGGGAGAACGGAAUUCCUGGUGUAGCGGUGAAAUGCGCAGAUAUCAGGAAGAACACCCGUGGCUAAGGCGGCUCUCUAGUACGGUACUGACGCUGAGACGCGAAAGCGUGGGGAGCGAACAGG